rnacentral:lncRNA from 1 species
CCGCUUCCAAUGCUUUCUUCUUCAUUUGCCGUCGUCGCGACUACCAAAAAGGUACCCAUCCCUCUUUUGAUCGUCAUUUUGCAUACCCUUUUCUUCAAUCUGAUUCUUUCUCUUAGUGUUUUUUUUUUAAAUAAUAAUUUCAUAUACCCUUUUGAUUCUUUUGGAUUGUUUUUGUGGAUUCAUUUACUUUGUUAAUUUUCAUUUGGGUUGGUUAUUAUUGGAUGAUUUAGAAAUGCUAAUGUACUAUGGCAAUAAUCAGAUGCUGUUCAUUGUGCCAUUAGCCUGCUGCUGAUUAAGUUUUCAGGAGUUCAUGCUGAGAUUCAUCCGUCUGGUCAUGUUUAUAUUUAUUUUGAAAACAGUUAGACAAAUUGAUAAUUACAAUAAAAUGAAUACACACAUGUUGCACAACAAUGGAGGAGUGUAGUUUGAAGACUAUCAGACAAAUUGAUAGUCACACCAAACGAAUACACACAUCGCAUAAUAUCAUUGUAUGGUUGCUCCAUUGUGGUUAUGGUGGUUUUAAUCGCAGAAAGCUAUUUGCCACAAGCACCACGACUAUUGAUGGCAUUUCGUUUUGUACUGUUAAUAAGUCAACAGAUUUUUGCAUUAAUCUUCUGUUUCUACUUUUUUUUUUUUUAAAUGUAUAACACACGCACACUAGUGAGACUCGAAUCCAUGACCUGAGUUUUAAGAAGACUGUUCCUUAACAUUCAGAUAUCAUUUUGUACCCUAGAAUUUGGUCCAUUAUUUUCUCUGUUUAGAGUCUCUCAGGUCUUGUCUGUAAGAUGGUUAGGGAUGGCAAAAAUCCCCACGGGGACGGGUAUCCUCGGGGAUUUUCCCCAUUCGGGGAGGAUAUGGGGAUAAUUUCAUACCCAAUUUCUUAUUCGGGGAGGGGACGGGGAUGAGGUGGAAUCUCCAUCCCCUACCCAUUUCCCCAUUUUAAUUUUUAAUUUAAUUUUAAUUUUUUAAAAUUACUAGUAAAUAAAUUAUAAAAUUAUAAAUAUUUGUAAAAAUAAAAAAUAUCAAAAUAUUUAUAUUAUUAAACUUUUCUGCUGUACCGUACAUCCGCCUUGGCCGUACAGCAGGAAACUAAAUGGAAUUUGCAAGAUAAGAUCUAUGUCCUGCGUCCCAAAAAUAUCAGUCACUGCAUCAUGAUCCUAACAACGAUGAUCAUACUUCAUUAGACUACUAACCCGAGUUGCGUUACUUACUAAUUUAAUGUAUGUGACUUUUGUAAUAGAUAUUAAUGUAAGAUAUAUUUCGAACUUUACUUUUAUUUGAAUGUUUUAUUUUAAUAUGAUUAACUCAAAAUUGAAAAAAAAAUGUAUUAGUUAUUCGGGGAUCGGGGACCCUCGGGGAUCCCCUGUUAUUAUUCGGGGAGGGGAUGGGGAUUCUCUCAAGUAAUUCUGACGGGGACGGGGAGGGGAUAGGGACAUACGCAAAAUAUCGGGGAUGGGUACGGGGAGAUCGGUCCCCUCCCCUCCCCUCUCCAUUGCCAUCCCUAAAGAUGGUGCAUGGUUGUACUGUUUGCAUGUUGAAGAAACCUCAAUAGGUAGGUUGGAUGAAUAAUUGUAUUGCCCAGUUAAAGCAACUCUUUUUUUGAGUUAGACUGUUGAUAACACAUUUGAAAGCUGGAAUUUUCUACUUGUUUCCUAAGUUUUCAGUCUACUUUCUGAGGUUUAUUAUUAUUUCACAUCCUCUAUUAGGUCUUUUUUUGCAUUAUAAAGCUGUAUUAGAGUCCUUGCAAUCAAUGUACCUUACAUUGAUUGUAAGGUAGCAAAAUCCUUACUACUUUUGGACUCCCCUUGAUAUUGCAGAGUUUGUGUGUCAGUGUCCCCCCUCCCCUUUUUGGGUUGGUUGUUGAAGAGUCUGAACAAAAUCAGUGUUUUGUUCUGUUAGGAUCCCCUCCGGAUGCUAUAUCCGAGACCCAGUCCUUGGUCCAGCCAAUGUAGUUAAUUUCCCAGUUGGGCUAUGAAAACCACUGCACAUAUGAUGCGUUGCUCCAAGAUAGGGAGUGUGAGACUGGUAGAAAUACUAAAAGUGUGCCCCAGCCCUACAAUUGUCAUAGUUUUAGACAUUUUGAAGAAAUGAAUACUGCGGUUUUAAUUAUUUAAUAGUGAUAUGGAAACAAACUACUGUACUGAACCAUGUAGUCGACAAUCUUUCUACAUCGAUACACAUUACUGUAACUGAAUUUUAAGAAGUCUUUGGAGAGCUCAAGGGAGUGCAUCCUAUAUAUUCUAUAGCAUCUAGGGAUGUCUGCAGAUUGUUGACUUGAUCUUGUCAUAGUGUCUUAUAGUCAAUAAGAUGUGCUAGUAAUUAAAUAAAUUGUUCAUUUUUAAGACCAUUGUUUCGGUUAAAGAAAUUAUUGAAAUGAGUUAGGAGUUUUGGUAAAAUUGACAUGCUGUAGAGCAAGCGUGAAAUAAUCAGUGCCCCGUCAAGAGCAAUAUUGUUGGGUUGAUUACAAAUUGAGAAUAAAUGACGGCGGUCUUCUUGUUUUAAUGGAAAAAUGGAAACAAAACUAGGAUGAGGGAGAAAAACCUACAAAUAAUCCAUGAGGAGAAGGAGAGAGAGAGAGAGAGAGAGAUGCACUGCAAAUUUUCCAUAUGGAGAUCUAUUUUUGGGUUAUUUACCCCUUAUUUGUGAUUGUUGUUGUUGAAGAAAAACUUAUUGGCAAACAUUAAUUGCAGAAACUUCCAGACAAUUUGAAAUAUUGAUUGGUAAACUAAUUAAUGAAUGUCAUUGCUUGCAAUUUCCCUGUCCCUUAAAAUGAAAAAAACGUUUCCUUGCAAGUGGAUUCUGAGACUAUCUGUUCAUAUAUGCUUUUCAUCACACUGAGUGUUGGACAGAGCUCAGUCGGUUGAUGUUUAAUUUCAUGCUUUUGAUUCAUGACCUGCCUUAUGCUGCCAAGUUUUACGACUGCUGUGGGGCCAAGGAUCCUGAUGCCUCUGGUUGCGCCACCAGCUUCCAUGUCUCUUAUGAUGAUGAUUGGUGUAAUAUUCUCUUCCUAAUCACCUAUAUCUCGAACGUUCAUUAAAUUUGUAGAUAUCCCCAUGUCUCCUCUCUCGACACACAUCAUUCCCUGCUGUUCUCCUGUUAUAUAAUUCCAGUCUUCAUCUCUUAAACUUUCAACUUUCAUCUUUUGUUUUUUUCCCCCUGGGUUGAUCUGACAUGAAUUUCAAAUGAUGAUCUGAGAGGUAUGAACCCUUAGUCACAUAUUACAUUCAUGCUACCGAGUCGUUUUUGGAGCCAAAAAUAGGUCAUGUGCCUGCAAUUGGCCAAAUCCAUAACUGUUUGCAUGAGUUUGAUAUGCGAAAAUGUGAAAGGUAGAAUGCAGCUGGCAAAGGAAAAAUCAAAGGGCAUGCUUCCCACAUCAAGAUGGUGGUAGUGGUACAUCUUUAUGUUUCCUUGACCUUAUCCAAUAUUCAUCAUUUUUGGUUACUCUGCAAUUUUCCGCUGUACAUUUUGAUCCCACACCAUGUGCUUGACAGUUGUUUCGAUUUUAUCUCUUUUUUUUUUUUUUUUCCUUUCUAUCUUUCAGAUCAGCAUUUUUGUCUUGAUUCUUGAAUAGUUGAAUAUGUAUGUGUGGGUGGGUAUAUAUAGUACUUAGAUUUUGUUUAAUUUUCUAUUGCUAACUUGAUCAUUUGUGGCAUUAACUUAAUAUGAUUUACAUCUUUUUGGUUGUAGUGUUGAUGAGUUGCCUUUAUAUGAUGACCCAAUUUUAUUCUUUAUUUUUUUUGUCUUCAUUGGUUUAACCAUAGAAAAAUAAAAUAGUAAUAAGAUUGGUCAUUUUGGCUAAACAAUUAAUGAACUAAUGGAGUAUAUCUCAC